rnacentral:rRNA from 1 species
GGCUGGGGGCACUCCAGUUCAGUGGCGGACGGGUGCGUAACACGUAAGCAACAUGUCCAGGGGUGGGGGAUAGCCGGCCCAACGGCCGGGUAAUACCGCAUGCAGUCACGGAAGACAUCUUAUGUGACGAAAGCCGGGGCAACCUGGCGCCCAUGGAGUGGCUUGCGGCCUAUCAGCUAGUUGGUGGGGUCACGGCCCACCAAGGCAACGACGGGUAGCUGGUCUGAGAGGAUGACCAGCCACAUUGGGACUGAGACACGGCCCAGACUCCUACGGGAGGCAGCAGUGGGGAAUAUUGCGCAAUGGGCGAAAGCCUGACGCAGCGACGCCGCGUGUGGGAUGAAGGUCUUCGGAUCGUAAACCACUGUCAGAGGGGACGAAAUCCCGGGGUUAACUGCCGCCGGGACUGACGGUACCCUCGGAGGAAGCACCGGCUAACUCUGUGCCAGCAGCCGCGGUAAUACAGAGGGUGCGAGCGUUGUCCGGAAUCACUGGGCGUAAAGGGCGUGUAGGCGGCUUGCUAAGCCGCGUGUGAAAGCCCGGGGCUCAACCCCGGAACGGCACGCGGGACUGGCAGGCUCGAGACUGGUAGAGGCAAGUGGAAUUCCUGGUGUAGCGGU